UACAGAGGUCUCAAGCGUUGUUCGGAAUCACUGGGCGUAAAGGGUGCGUAGGUGGCGUGGUAAGUCAGAUGUGAAAGCCCGGGCUCAACCUCGGAAUUGCAUCCGAUACUGCCGUGCUAGAGUACUGAAGAGGUGACUAGAAUUCUCGGUGUAGCAGUGAAAUGCGUAGAUAUCGAGAGGAAUACCAACGGCGAAGGCAGGUCACUGGGCAGUUACUGACACUGAGGCACGAAGGCCAGGGGAGCAAACGGG
rnacentral:rRNA from 1 species